AUUGAACGCUGGCGGCAUGCCUUACACAUGCAAGUCGAACGGUAGCAGGUCUUCGGAUGCUGACGAGUGGCGAACGGGUGAGUAAUACAUCGGAACGUGCCCGAUCGUGGGGGAUAACGAAGCGAAAGCUUUGCUAAUACCGCAUAAGAUCUAAGGAUGAAAGCAGGGGACCGCAAGGCCUUGCGCGAACGGAGCGGCCGAUGGCAGAUUAGGUAGUUGGUGGGAUAAAAGCUUACCAAGCCGACGAUCUGUAGCUGGUCUGAGAGGACGACCAGCCACACUGGGACUGAGACACGGCCCAGACUCCUACGGGAGGCAGCAGUGGGGAAUUUUGGACAAUGGGCGAAAGCCUGAUCCAGCCAUGCCGCGUGCAGGAUGAAGGCCUUCGGGUUGUAAACUGCUUUUGUACGGAACGAAAAGACUCUUUCUAAUAAAGAGGGUCCAUGACGGUACCGUAAGAAUAAGCACCGGCUAACUACGUGCCAGCCGCCGCGGUAA
rnacentral:rRNA from 1 species